AAGACCCUGUCUGUAAAUGAAAAGUAAGAAAGGGUUGGGGAUGUAGUUCAUUGUGAAGGCCCUUGGUUCAAUCCCUACUUCACCUACCCAAAAACUGCCAACAAAAAACCCCCACAUAUUAUUUUGGUUUAGAUAUAACGUGUCCCUGCAGGUUCUCAUGGGUGUGGAUUUGAUUGGAUCAUGCGAGCACUAGUCUCCUCCAUGGGUCCAUUCACUGGUGAGUUCAGUAGCUAAAUGUGCUGUAAAGAGGUGGGCCCUUGGAAGUGGGUCAUGACCUGGAAGUAUAUCCUUACCCCUGCCUCUUUCCUUCUCUCUCUGCUUCCUGGCUGCCAUGAUUUGAGAACCUUUUCCUCUGCUGUGCUCCUUGAGCAUACUGUUCCUGCCUUGGAGCCAACUGGCUCUGGACUGAAACCGUGAACCAAGCUAAAUCUGGACUGAAACCGUGAACCAAGCUAAAUCUCUCCCCCUUUUAAUUAUGUAAAGCAAUGGAGCUCCAUGGACUGGACCCUCUGAGACUGAGCCACAUAAACAUUUUCUCCCUUAAAUUGUUUUUGUCAAGUGUUUUGUCACAGCAAAGGAAAGCUGACUAGCGCAGGGAAAAUGUGGAGGCUUCUUUCUUCAGGAGUAAGCAACAUUAAGAGAUAGCUCUUUAGUUUGAGUAGAUUAAUAUUUAAGGUUUAGGGAACUUCACAGGUUCUAACCAUUCCUACAUCCUUUCCUGGACAAAUUCCCAGUAAGUGCCUUUCUCUGCUAGGUCAGAUGUAAAGAAGGGUAUCACACCAUAUUUCAGCCUCCCCUGAAGUGUUAAUUGGAUAACUGGCUGGCAUUUAGGACAAUCAAGAGACAGACAAGAAGCUGAUAAGCAGUAAACAUCUUAGUCUUGGAUUCUAAAGAAGCUCAGCAUAUUUCCUACCAUGCUGCCAAAGUCUUGUCAAAUACAUGGAGAAUUAUGUCAUCAAUUAUGUCAUUACCAGUCAUCAACAGGAAUAGAACCAGUCCAUAGGCUGAAUGCCGAGAGAAAUUUUGGAGCCCGGUACCCUCGGGUAGAUGUGUGGUGAGGAAGGCUAGC